rnacentral:rRNA from 1 species
GACGAACGCUGGCGGCGUGCUUAACACAUGCAAGUCGAACGGAAAGGCCCUGAUUUUGUGGGGUGCUCGAGUGGCGAACGGGUGAGUAACACGUGUGUAACCUGUACUUGAAUGUGGGAUAACUUCAGGAAACUGGGGCUAAUACCGGAUAGGAGAUCCUGCUGCAUGGGGGGGGUUGGAAAGUUUCGGCGGUUGGGGAUGGACUCGAGGCUUAUCGGCUUGUUGGUGGGGUAGUGGCUUACCAAGGCUUUGACGGGUAGCCGGCAUGAGAGGGUGACCGGCCACAUUGGUACUGAGAUACGGCCCAGACGCCUACGUGCGGCAGCAGUCGGGAAUAUUACACAAUGGGCGGAAGCCUGAUGCAGCAACGCCGCGUGCGGGAUGACCUCCUUCGGGUUGUAAACCGCUUUCGCCUGUGACGAAGCGUGAGUGACGGUAAUGGGUAAAGAAGCACCGGCUAACUACGUG